GGGAGGCGACGCGCGGGGCCGGCCUCGGGGGGCGACUGCGCGGGGCUGGCGGCGCCGAGGGCGACGAGGUGCACGGAGGGCCUCGCCGGCGCGCGCCCCUGCGUCCUCCCGGCGGCCGGCGGUCGGCGGCUGCGGGGCCCCGGGCCGAGGAGGCGUGCGUCCCGAGGUGUGAGAGCCGCUGGCACGUCCUCCGGGCACGCGCCGCAGGCUCGCUCCGGCUCCAAACUGUUGCUCACGCUGCGCUUCGGCCGACCCGAACCUGCCACGGGUUGGGAAGACGACGGAGAAGAAGGGAGUGUGAGCCCCAAGUGGACUCGAUCCGCAAAGGCUGGCAGGUGUUGGCUAGGCAGCAUUUAUGCACUUGUGCCUUCUGGAACUUGGGAUGCAAGAGGCUUGAGGAUCGGGACUCCUGCUGCGCUCUGAUAGUGCAAACCUAAAAGUGAAGUUGGAUCACAUGGCAAGCACGCACUUUCCUUCUUUGGCCCCAGCCUCCUGCUUGGAAAAUCCCCAAAGAUCGAAGAUGACCAUCUUCUGUCAAAUCUGCAGACCUCGGGCUGCUUCCCAUGGCGAGUAGCUGCAGUCCCCACCUUCUUCCCAACUCUGAGAUUGGAAUUCUUGCCCUUGCUAACUUCAAUGAAUGUUUAAAAAAAAAAACUGCAGCUGACGGGCAGUUGAGCCGACAUCUGAAACAAUUUGACAUGGGAACUCAUGAAUUUAGCCACUAAUGCUGAGUUGACUCACCAUAUCGUAACUGUGUGGGGUCAAUCACAUGGUGUGUGAAGGAUGAACCAACAGAUCCUGCCAAUUUUGAAAGGUACAAUGUGUCAAGAAACUAUCUAUACAGUGGCCAUAGUGAUCCCAGGAGGAGUACAAGGCCAUUCUUAUCUACAUAGCAAGCUGAUGCCAGCCUGAGGUACAUGAGACCUCGUCACAAAAAAAAAAAAAAACAAAAAAAAAAAAACUGGUCAGUACAAGGCCUGUCUGAAGGAAAAGCACUGGGGAGGUGACAGUGAAGGUUCUAUCUGGCUUCAGGUCACUUUCUCUGUUUGCCCUGCCUGCCUGCCACGUGGUUUUGCUACUGUGAUGUUCUGCUUCACUUUGGAUCCCAGAACCAACAAAGCCAAGAAGUAGAAACUGGGGCCCCUGAAAACAUAACCAUGGCCCCCUACUGGCUAUUUCAGAUAUUGGUUCACAGUGAUGACUGGUCUGGCUAAUAAAUUAUUACAGCCUUAA